rnacentral:tRNA from 1 species
AGCAGGGUGGCUUAGUGGAUAGAGCAUGGGCCUCGGAGUCAGAAGGACCUGGGUCCUAAUCCCAGCUCUGCCA